UUCUGAUAGCUUUAAUUGGUUAGAGCAGGUAGCUGUUAACUACAAGGUUAUAGGUUCGAGUCCUAUUCAGAAAG
rnacentral:tRNA from 1 species